GAAGAGCGUAUUUUUACACUUUUAAGUUCAAUGGUUGACCGUCCAUCUUAUUUUUUUUAAAAGAAUGAUUAAUAUUUUGGUUGAUAUCGGAUGAUAAAACAUGAACAAUAUUUCAUCUAUGUGAAUUUUUUAAGUUUUUUUAUAAACUUUAAAUAAAAUGAAUGGUCAACGUUGAACACAUAAAUUCAUAAAUAUACUUCAA
rnacentral:pre_miRNA from 1 species